GACGAACGCUGGCGGCGUGCUUAACACAUGCGAGUCGAACGGGAAGGCCCUGCUUUUGUGGGGUGCUCGAGUGGCGAACGGGUGAGUAACACGUGAGUAACCUGCCCUUGACUUUGGGAUAACUUCAGGAAACUGGGGCUAAUACCGGAUAGGAGCUCCUGCUGCAUGGUGGGGGUUGGAAAGUUUCGGCGGUUGGGGAUGGACUCGCGGCUUAUCAGCUUGUUGGUGGGGUAGUGGCUUACCAAGGCUUUGACGGGUAGCCGGCCUGAGAGGGUGACCGGCCACAUUGGGACUGAGAUACGGCCCAGACUCCUACGGGAGGCAGCAGUGGGGAAUAUUGCACAAUGGGCGGAAGCCUGAUGCAGCAACGCCGCGUGCGGGAUGACGGCCUUCGGGUUGUAAACCGCUUUCGCCUGUGACGAAGCGUGAGUGACGGUAAUGGGUAAAGAAGCACCGGCUAACUACGUG
rnacentral:rRNA from 1 species